rnacentral:rRNA from 1 species
UACGUAGGGUGCGAGCGUUGUCCGGAAUUACUGGGCGUAAAGAGCUCGUAGGUGGUUUGUCGCGUUGUUCGUGAAAUCUCACGGCUUAACUGUGAGCGUGCGGGCGAUACGGGCAGACUAGAGUACUGCAGGGGAGACUGGAAUUCCUGGUGUAGCGGUGGAAUGCGCAGAUAUCAGGAAGAACACCCGUGGCGAAGGCGGCUCUCUGGAACGCAACUGACGCUGAGACGCGAAAGCGUGGGGAGCAAACAGG